AGAGACAAGAUAAAGGUGAAGGCGUUUUUUUCAUUCCCUAGCUUGGGAUUUUGAGCUUUUACACUCUUUGUCCAGUUGGCUUUGGAGAUUGAGGUUGAGGAGCACAAUCGCAUUUGUCCCAGCUGAUGCUGGAGUGUGCAGGCUUUGAACAAUGAGACUUUGUUCUUCUGCCAAAUGCAGCAGUGCCCGCGCUGUUGCUCGGGAAAAAAAAAAAGGAACAAACACAUUAAGAAGUCACCGAAAAUCAAUUGAUGGCUCACUUCAAGGAGUGCAGCAGCAUACUGUUAAGAUGAAUGAGUUCACCUGGCAUAGGACACCACAAAGAGUAGAGAUCUUCAGAAAGACACCCUGUAGUUUCCCCCCAAACCUGCAAUGCGAUGGAGAGAAUGACCUUCAAAUAUGUCCCUGGGAUCCGCAGGUCUCUCAAACACUUUGCAGACCCCUCUUGUCCACAGCCUUCAGGAAGGGCUGGUGGGCACCACAGCAGGAUGCUCCUUGCCGUUGAGGAGCAGCAGUGAGGUAGCUCCCUCCAGCAAAAGACUUGGCACAAGGCUCAGCAGCAAGGCCAACAGGCAGUGACUACCAGCUGCAGGGAGAUGUGAGCUUGCAGCUCGUGCCACAGGGGAAGGGGCCCAGCUCCUCGCUCUCAGCCCAUCAGUGACAGGGAGAAAAUUAAUCCAGGAAGAAACUCAGGAGGAAAAUAAGCAAGCGGAAUAAGCACAGCGGGCUGGGAAAGUAAAUUUACUGAACUUACAUCCUUGAUUUUAAUGAGGCCUCUAAUAGCAGGGUUAGCCCGGUAGAAUUUGUUAUCUCCCAGAAAAUGUGGGACUCUCGCAGAGACGUUCCCCUUACUUGCUUGGCAAUGAGAACCAAGGGACCAUCAGUAUGAACACGGCUAAUAUAAAGCUGAGCAGAUGUUACCUUAAACUCUUCUUCAGCUCACGGGGGAGGAUUAAGUGAUAUGAAACCACAGGAGUGGCCCAGGUGGGAAAGAUUAUUUUGCUGGUGUAUGAGCUCUUAUAGGAGUUAGGGGAGAGGGCUGGUGGUGUUUGAUAUGCUGGGACCAAUUAUACCGAAAAAUACAGAACACAGUGAGGUGGAAGUUUAGGGGUGGGUGGGAAAGUAGUUCUGGCCUGGGUUAUUAGCUGCCACAAAGCAGCAUUCUGGCACCCAGAGAAAAAGGGUUGCCUGCAAAGAGAAAAUCCAGUUAGUAGCAGCUUCAAAGCAUCUACUGCCAUUUAGAGGCUCUUUGGGGUCCCUGCGUGGAACAAUCUGGAGGCUUAGCUCAGCACCCAGUGGGAAAGUAUCCUUGAGAUUCAACCACUGGGCACGGACAGGGGGAACCUGCCCUGGGACAGCCCCACAUCACCAAGAGCAUGCACCAAAGGGAGGCAAGGGCAGCCCAGCUGCACGGUGCCCCUGUGCAGCUUUAGCCUCUGUCCUUCCAGGCAAGCCUUUUGGAGUUUAAAUGGAGAAAGACAUCCUCUCCUACAGGGUUUUUAUGUCACUCCAUCCAAUUUAAUAGGAAGUUAUUCCUAACUCAGAAAUCCUAUUCCCAAAAAUAUAUGCAGGUUUGUUUGUUAAGUAUUGUAGACUUUAUAGUAAUUUGUUUUGCAUCCUGUUGAAAUGCCCAGGAGGCUUCCCUGACGAUGGGGUUUGUAAGCCCGUCCCUUUCUAGACAGCAGUGCUCACUCCAUGCUUCAGUCUAAAUGCAAACCCUUUCAGCUUUUACUGCCUGCUGCUCCAAGCUGCUAUCCACCCCCGUACUGCAGGUUGCACCAAGCUCAGCCCAAGGCAGAAGGGGCCUGUCUGCUGGGCAGAGCAACCAUGUGGAGGGCGGGGUCUGGAGAUAAGCAAGAUAAGCAUGUGAAUCCUGUGUUGUUUUUGUUGUUGUUUUUUUUUUUUUCCUCAGAAACGGUAACUAUCUCCUGUUGGAGCCCACAAACCUGGCAGAGCAGGCACAGCAACACAGAGCAGGUUGUGCAACACCUGUGUGCGCUCACCACGUGCCUCUGCCACAUAACACCCUGCUCUGACCUGGCAAGGACAGAAGAGCAACAGAUUGGAAAGGCACAGAGAGGAAAAUACAGGGCUUAUUUCCAGUUUGCGAGAGGUUUCAUCAGAACCCCUGCACAAGAGGGCAUGGAUAAAUUUAACCCUCCUGUAAGGAGCAGGAACAGUUUUGUGACAGGAUCCACCAUGGGAGAUCUUGAACAGCAAAAGGGCUGGGGGAGGGUCCGCUCUCUUAGGGUGCCUGCUUUUCAUUCAGGUGGGUUUAGCUGUUUUCCUCUCAGUAAGUGUCUAGGAAUCGCUUCAUCUUUCUGUAUGCAGAAGG
ensembl:lncRNA